AAUAAUUAGCGGGGAAAGAAGACCCUUUUGAGCUUGACUCUAAUCUGGCAGUGUAAGGAGACAUAAGAGGUGUAGCAUAAGUGGGAGAUAUUAGAUUUCGGUUUGGUAUCGACAAUGAAAUACCACUACUCUUAUUGUUUCCUUACUUACUUGAUUAAAUGGAACGUGUAUCAUUUCCUAGCCAUUAUACGGAUAUAUUUAUUAUAUCUUAUGGUAUUGGGUUUUGAUGCAAGCUUCUUGAUCAAAGUAUCACGAGUUUGUUAUAUAAUCGCAAACAAAUUCUUUAAUGAGAAAAUGCAUUUAUGUAUUUUCAAUUUGAAAAUUUGGUAUAACUCCAAUUACUCAGGUAUGAUCCAAUUCAAGGACAUUGCCAGGUAGGGAGUUUGACUGGGGCGGUACAUCUCUCAAAUAAUAACGGAGGUGUCCCAAGGCCAGCUCAGUGCGGACAGAAACCACACAUAGAGCAAAAGGGCAAAUGCUGACUUGAUCUCGGUGUUCAGUACACACAGGGACAGCAAAAGCUCGGCCUAUCGAUCCUUUUGGUUUAAAGAGUUUUUAACAAGAGGUGUCAGAAAAGUUACCAUAGGGAUAACUGGCUUGUGGCGGCCAAGCGUUCAUAGCGACGUCGCUUUUUGAUCCUUCGAUGUCGGCUCUUCCUAUCAUUGUGAAGCAAAAUUCACCAAGCGUUGGAUUGUUCACCCAUGCAAGGGAACGUGAGCUGGGUUUAGACCGUCGUGAGACAGGUUAGUUUUACCCUACUAAUGACAAAACGUUGUUGCGACAGCAUUCCUGCGUAGUACGAGAGGAACCGCAGGUACGGACCAAUGGCACAAUACUUGUUCGAGCGAACAGUGGUAUGACGUUACGUAAAAUGGAUUAUGCCUGANCGCGUGGGGAGAAAAAAUCAGUGCUGGACUGCAAUGAUAAAUAAGGGGCAAUUUGCAUUGUAUAAAAAAAAAACCAUUAAAAGUUUAUAAUUUAUUUUAUAAACGACAAUGGAUGUGAUGCCAAUGUAAUUUGUAACAUAGUAAAUUGGGAGGAUCAUCGAUCACCUGAUGCCGCGCUAGUUGCAUAUAAAAACAUUAUUUAAUACAAUGACAAAGCCUAGAAUCAAUUGUAAACGACUUUUGUAACAGGCAAGGUGUUGUAAGUGGUUGAGCAGCUGCCAUNNNNNNNNNNNNNNNNNNNNNNNNNNNNNNNNNNNNNNNNNNNNNNNNNNAGCGACACGCCAGCAUGUCUAUGCGGCGCAGAACGCGAGGAUUGGCAGCACUUCCUAUGUGCUUGUCCCCUCUGUACAGACUUGCGAGACCUCGAUGGACUUGGAGUGCAGUACACGGAUGGCGACUGGACCUUCUCCGAUGUGACGGCUUCUCAGGAGAGAAUGCGGACUCUCGACAGGUUCGCCGGACCGGCGUUCUCCAGGCGACAGCAGCUGCUGAAUGCGCAAACGGCGCACGGGCUGGGUGGAUUCCCUAUCCAGGCCGGUCGGGGCUAAAAGGGAGGAUCGAGCUGAGUCCUUAAGAUCGGUACCACGGGUUGUGCAGUUCCAAGGCUGCACAUUGAGGUCGGCCCCCUAGUGGGAGUAUCGUGGUGGCUGUGGUUGAUACCCAAACGUUACGCGGGGAGAGCCGCUAGGCUCCUCGUGGAGUUGCGCUCUCAACCGGGUGCCGAGACCCAUAGAUCGGAAGACGUGUACGGAAGACGGUACAUCUGUCAAAUAAUAACGGAGGUGUCCUAAGGCCAGCUCAGUGCGGACAGAAACCACACAUAGAGCAAAAGGGCAAAUGCUGACUUGAUCUCGGUUUUCAGUACACACAGGGACAGCAAAAGCUCGGCCUAUCGAUCCUUUUGGUUUAAAGAGUUUUUAACAAGAGGUGUCAGAAAAGUUACCAUAGGGAUAACUGGCUUGUGGCGGCCAAGCGUUCAUAGCGACGUCGCUUUUUGAUCCUUCGAUGUCGGCUCUUCCUAUCAUUGUGAAGCAAAAUUCACCAAGCGUUGGAUUGUUCACCCAUGCAAGGGAACGUGAGCUGGGUUUAGACCGUCGUGAGACAGGUUAGUUUUACCCUACUAAUGACAAAACGUUGUUGCGACAGCAUUCCUGCGUAGUACGAGAGGAACCGCAGGUACGGACCAAUGGCACAAUACUUGUUCGAGCGAACAGUGGUAUGACGCUACGUCCGUUGGAUUAUGCCUGAACGCCUCUAAGGUCGUAUCCGUGCUGGACUGCAAUGAUAAAUAAGGGGCAAUUUGCAUUGUAUGGCUUCUAAACCAUUAAAAGUUUAUAAUUUAUUUUAUAAACGACAAUGGAUGUGAUGCCAAUGUAAUUUGUAACAUAGUAAAUUGGGAGGAUCAUCGAUCACCUGAUGCCGCGCUAGUUGCAUAUAAAAACAUUAUUUAAUACAAUGACAAAGCCUAGAAUCAAUUGUAAACGACUUUUGUAACAGGCAAGGUGUUGUAAGUGGUUGAGCAGCUGCCAUACUGCGAUCCACUGAAGCUUAUCCUUUGCUUGAUGAUUC
rnacentral:ncRNA from 1 species